rnacentral:tRNA from 1 species
GGUAGAUUGGUCAAGUGGUUAAGACGCCGCCCUCUCACGGCGGAAUCAGGGGUUCAACUCCCCUAUCUACUA